AGCCUUCCUAUCCCUAUCUUUUUUUUCUCCUUGUCUUUCUUAAAUCUCUUCCUAGGCUCUUGUCCUAAAAUCGGACUUGUCUUUACUAUUUUUGGACUUAUCCUAAUAAGAGAAGGAAGAGAUUAAUUGGACAAUAGAAAGAGAGUACAAGAAAGAAGAUAUAGGAACAAAUUUCUGAAUAAAUCAAAUCCCCCGGUGCACCCCCUUUAAAUAGUUAGCGAUAGGUUGCCUUCGGACUUGUCUCGUGCCCUCUCCACACGCCAUCUCACAUCCAUCAAAAUUUCUCAUGCCCCC
rnacentral:lncRNA from 1 species